AACGCAAAUUGCGCUCUCUGGUAUUCCGGAGAGCAUGCUUGUUUGAGUAUCAGUAAACACCUCAACCAAAAAUUCUAUUUUGGAUGGACUUGAGCAAACCCAAAGUCUUUCGAGAUCGGCGGGUUGCUUGAAAUGCAGGUGCAGCUGAAAAAGACAGACUGAGCUAAAAGCAUUCUAAUUUAGUCCGCUUGCGGAUUAUCUCUUUAAUUGCUGCAGUUCACUCAAGGUCUCCUUUUUCCAGUUGACUGAUGCAGGAUUUUGCUUAGAGUUUUCACGACUCUAUUCAAAACUCGAUCUCAAAUCAAGCAAGACUACCCGCUGAACUUAA
rnacentral:misc_RNA from 1 species